AAUGUACCUACUAGCCUACGACGGGUACGGGUUGUGAGAGCAAGAGCCCGGAGAUGGAUUCUGAGACAUGAAUCCAGGCCCUACGGGGCGCAGCAGGCGCGAAAACUUUACAAUGCGGGAAACCGUGAUAAGGGGACACCGAGUGCCAGCAUCCUAUGCUGGCUGUCCGGGUGUGUAAAAUACACCUGUUAGCAAGGGCCGGGCAAGACCGGUGCCAGCCGCCGCGGUAACACCGGCGGCCCGAGUGGUGAUCGUGAUUAUUGGGUCUAAAGGGUCCGUAGCCGGUUUGGUCAGUCCUCCGGGAAAUCUGACAGCUCAACUGUUAGGCUUUGGAGGAUACUGCCAGACUUGGAACCGGGAGAGGUAAGAGGUACUACAGGGGUAGGAGUGAAAUCUUGUAAUCCCUGUGGGACCACCUGUGGCGAAGGCGUCUUACCAGAACGGGUUCGACGGUGAGGGACGAAAGCUGGGGGCACGAACCGGAUUAGAUACCCGGGUAGUCCCAGCCGUAAACGAUGUUCGCUAGGUGUCAGGCAUGGCGCGACCGUGUCUGGUGCCGCAGGGAAGCCGUGAAGCGAGCCACCUGGGAAGUACGGCCGCAAGGCUGAAACUCAA
rnacentral:rRNA from 1 species